CCUACGGGAGACAGCAGUGAGGAAUAUUGGUCAAUGGACGAGAGUCUGAACCAGCCAAGUAGCGUGAAGGAUGACUGCCCUAUGGGUUGUAAACUUCUUUUAUAUGGGAAUAAAAUGUUCCACGUGUGGGAUUUUGUAUGUACCAUAUGAAUAAGGAUCGGCUAACUCCGUGCCAGCAGCCGCGGUAAUACGGAGGAUCCGAGCGUUAUCCGGAUUUAUUGGGUUUAAAGGGAGCGUAGGUGGAUUGUUAAGUCAGUUGUGAAAGUUUGCGGCUCAACCGUAAAAUUGCAGUUGAAACUGGCAGUCUUGAGUACAGUAGAGGUGGGCGGAAGUCGUGGUGUAGCGGUGAAAUGCUUAGAUAUCACGAAGAACUCCGAUUGCGAAGGCAGUUCACUGGACUGCAACUGACACUGAGGCUCGAAAGUGUGGGUAUCAAACAGGAUUAGAUACCCCAGUAGUC
rnacentral:rRNA from 1 species